UACGAAGGGGGCUAGCGUUGCUCGGAAUCACUGGGCGUAAAGCGCACGUAGGCGGAUUUCUAAGUCAGGGGUGAAAUCCUGGAGCUCAACUCCAGAACUGCCUUUGAUACUGGUAAUCUCGAGUCCGGGAGAGGUGAGUGGAACUGCGAGUGUAGAGGUGAAAUUCGUAGAUAUUCGCAAGAACACCAGUGGCGAAGGCGGCUCACUGGCCCGGUACUGACGCUGAGGUGCGAAAGCGUGGGGAGCAAACAGG
rnacentral:rRNA from 1 species